rnacentral:rRNA from 1 species
AGAGUUUGAUCCUGGCUCAGAUUGAACGCUGGCGGCAUGCUUUACACAUGCAAGUCGAACGGUAACAGGGAGCUUGCUCCGCUGACGAGUGGCGGACGGGUGAGUAAUGCGUGGGAAUCUACCCUCGAGCGGGGGACAACCCGGGGAAACCCGGGCUAAUACCGCAUACGUCCUACGGGAGAAAGCGGGCCUCUACACUAUGCUCGCACUCGAGGAUGAGCCCACGUCCGAUUAGCUAGUUGGUAGGGUAACGGCCUACCAAGGCCACGAUCGGUAGCUGGUCUGAGAGGAUGAUCAGCCACACUGGGACUGAGACACGGCCCCAGACUCCUACGGGAGGCAGCAGUGGGGAAUAUUGGACAAUGGGCGCAAGCCUGAUCCAGCAAUGCCGCGUGUGUGAAGAAGGCCUGCGGGUUGUAAAGCACUUUCAGUGGGGAAGAACGGAUACGGGCCAAUACCCCGCAUCACUGACGUUACCCACAGAAGAAGCACCGGCUAACUCCGUG